UACGGGGGGAGCAAGCGUUGUUCAGAUUUACUGGGCGUAAAGGGCGCGUAGGCGGUCAGCACAAGUCAGUUGUGAAAUCUCCGGGCUUAACUCGGAAAGGUCAACUGAUACUGUGCGACUAGAGUGCAGAAGGGGCAACUGGAAUUCUCGGUGUAGCGGUGAAAUGCGCAGAUAUCAGGAAGAACACCCGUGGCGAAGGCGGCUCUCUGGGACGGUACUGACGCUGAGACGCGAAAGCGUGGGGAGCGAACAGG
rnacentral:rRNA from 1 species